GCACAAGGCAUAAACAAGAGCAGGCUACACACCGCCAAGUUACCAUGUGAGUAGUUUAACAAUCUGGCGCUGAUGAGGUGAACAGCCCGGGUAGAUAUACUGCAGAGGUGAGUAGUGGAAUGAGCUGCAGCUGUUGGGAGCAGAGCUGUAGAG